AUGUAUUGCCAGUGCAGAUGCAGAGCACCAGUCCUUUCUGUUUCAGUCAUAAAACUAGCAAUGGAGGAAGGGCAAGAUGAGAGAAGCAGAACAAUUUGUGCAACAUCGCGGGAAGAGGUGAAAAUCAGAGGGAGAGAAAAGAGGAAGCGAAAACGCAGCCGAAGCCGAUCAUCAUCCAUUUCAUCUACAUCAUCCUCUAGUAGUAGUUCUACUUCCUCCUCCUCUUCACACUCUUCAUCAAGGUCUUCCUCCUCCUCCUCCUCCUCCUCAAGAAGCAGAGAUUCUCCCAAGUCCAAAUCAAAGAAAAGGAAGAAGGAAAAACACAACAAAAAGAGAAGGAAAAAAGAGAAUAAGUUGAAGAAAAAGAAAGAAAAGAAGAAAAAGCGAGAGAAAUCAGGACCUGUUCAGCUUUCCAAGUACUUCAAAGACAAAAAGAAAAAUGAAAACUACAGUAUGAUAACAGGAAAAAAGAUAAAGAUGAAAAUAAAGAAGAGUAAAAAGGAUAAAGAGAGGGAUCGAAACCGCGCAGAACUUCUUGAAUUCCUAAAUUCUGCCUUGUGA
rnacentral:lncRNA from 1 species